AUUUUAGUCAACUCUCUCAAAGCACCAGGAAGGAAAAAUGAUAGCUUUGCUUCAGCUUGUUUUCUUUUCAGCAACUUUUGGAGGUGUCCAAUCAGAAGUCCAGCUGGUGGAGUCUGGAGGAGAUGUGAAAAGGCCUGGAGAGUCCCUUCACCUCUCCUGCCAAGUCUCUGGGUUCAACUUUGGGGAUUAUGGCAUGGACUGGGUGAGACAGGGUCCUGGGAAGGGCUUGGAAUGGGUGGCCUACAUAAACUACAAUUCAGGUACAAUUCACUACUUGGAUAAAGUGAAGGGAAGAUUCACCAUCUCCAGGGACAAUUCCAACAGCCUCCUCUAUCUGCAAAUGAACAGCCUUAAACCCGAGGACACGGCUGUGUAUUACUGUGCAAGAGACACAGUGAGAGGAAGUGAAUCUGAAACCAGACAAAAACCCUCCUUUAAUCAAAACAGAAGAGUUGCCUUCCCUCCAACAUUCCACAUGAAAGCAGGGACAUUCUAUUAG